rnacentral:lncRNA from 1 species
GUAACUUCUCAUCACCUCCAUCACCCAUCCGUGAUUUCUGUUUGUAGAAUUGAAUUUCAUCGGGCUUGGUGUGCUCAGUGGAAACACUGUGUGAAUCACUCUCAAGUUCAGCAGUUAACAUGACUCAGCACUUGGUUCAUGAGCAAGAAGGCUUUUCUGUCAGCAUAACCAGGGUAUCAUAGCAGUGUGUCUGCUACCUGGGAAACCAAGAUGAAGCACCAAGUAGAGGUCACCAUGUUUAACUAAUGAUUUAAGAAAUAAAGGUUUUUGUCAGGAGCAAACAUAUGGGUUUCAUUUGAGUAAAAUCUAAUAUAGUAUACUUACGGAUUCUAAGAAUUUGUGAAAGCCAUUUAUGAUAAUAAAACUCUUAUUUGCUUCCAAGCAAAUGAUCUUUUGGUGCGAUUUUACUGUCUUUUCAUUUUAGUUCUGCUUUGAGCCAAGGCAAAAUGCUUUGCCCAAAAUGUUCCUUUAGUUAGACCUUGUCUCUUAAAUUGCAUUUUCUCCAGAAUGGACUAGGUCACAUGUAAUAAAUUCUGGCAUUUUAAUAGAAACAUUACAGGGAAAAUAGUCAACAAUCUGCUUUAAUUUCAAAAGUCAUUUACUCUUUGAUAUGGUAAGGCAGUAUCUGGUAAAAUGUGCAGAAUGCAUUGGGAUUUACUUAUGAUGACAAUUUAUUCUGAAACAAUGUGAAACUGGACCAUCAAUAUUCAGGACAAAGAUCUUGGCAGGGGGAAGGGUACUGGGAGCAAACAUUAGUGUCUUUUUAUUCCUGGCUCAAGCAAUCCUCCUACCUUGGCUUCCCAAAGUGUUGGUAUUACAGGUGUGAGCCAUCGUGCCCACAGAAAGUGUUCUUCCCUUGCCCCGAGAAAAACCUGUUUCUGAAAACCACUGCAGCUUCACGGAGGUAUCUUCCUUUCUCUCUCCCAAUUUACUUCAAUCCACAAAUGACUGAAUAUGUGCUUGUUGAGCACCUGGCCCAAUGUGUACCCUACAUUGUGUUCUUGGCUGUCACUCAGUUCAUUGUCAAGGCACUCUUGGGAGGCAGGGGGUAUAUCAGAGGAAUCAGAGGCUCACAGAAACUAAGCAACUUGCUCAAGUUUAUGCAGCAAAAAUAAGAUAGCAGACUGCUGUCAAACCCAAGACUUCUGAUUCUAUGUCCAGGGUUUGUUUUUGUUAUUGUUUCUCUAAAUUGAUGUUUCCCAAAGUGGGAGACUCACUCUCCAGGUGUAAACCCAAGCUGGUUUUAGAUGGUUCGUGGAGAAGGCAGGAAAAGGAAUACUGAAUCACAUGACAGGAAAGUUGUUUUCUUUUCAAUUCUCUCUCAAACAUCCUGUUUAGUCAAGUAGAAAAUGGGCUUGGUGUGAAUGUGCCUUUCGUAUGUGUUGAAUAUUUGCUAAUCUCCCAUCUUAACAGAGAGCUGGUCUCAGGCUUAGCAGCCUCAAUAGCAACAGGGUUUAGCAAGAACUUAAUAAGAUAUUUUUAUUUCAUAUUCUAUUUUUGGAACAUGAUAUUGUUUUUCUUCACAUUGGCGAUAUAAAUUUGCCUUUUAAGGAAAAAAAUUAAGGGGGAAAUAAAGAAAAGUACUGGAUAAAUUAGAGUUCAGGUGUCUGAGUAUAAUGAUACAAAUCAUGCCUGUACAUCCAUGGAAUGAGGCUGGGAGCAGCUCUCCAUUUAUUCAUGCUGCCUCCCUCACUCACGGGACACGCGGGGCUUCAUGUGAUCAUCGUGACACUAAGUUCUGAAUCUGCUCUUUAUUUAUUUCCCUUAGAAAUAUAUAGAAGCAAUUAUAAUGAAAGCCAUACUUGCCCUUAGGACCAUUGAGGUGUCCUUCUUAAGCAUACAUUUUAUAACUGAAAUCAACCCAAGCUAGUAAUGGAGUCUUAAAACCUAGAAAAAAUAUGUAAGUUUAUUGCAAAAGAUAAUAUCCCGUUUAAAACAGUUUAGAAAUUUACAAAACCUUACAUCAGUACAUCGUCUUUAAGAAGGUGCUCUAUAGAUGAGCUGGUAUUAAGUUCCAAGGAUAGUGAGUAUGCAUUUAUGCAUUGCUUUUUAAACUACAGAGAAAGCAGCUACAUAAACUCCUGCAAUUUAAGUUGAUGUAUUGGUCUUUUUCCUUUCAAUUUUAUAAAAGUAAUUUUUGCUAAGUUAAUAUCUCUCCAGCAAACCAGAUAACCUCAAGUACAGCAUUUCUGUAGAAUAUCAUGGUAGAUGUUACGUAAUAUUUUACAAAGAAGCAGUGAUUUUCACAUGAAUAAGUGAGUAUGCAGUUUUGGUAUAUGUGUGUGUGGUGUUUUAAACAUAGAGACGACCAUUUUUGUUCAUCAGGAAAA